rnacentral:rRNA from 1 species
UGUAAAGUUCAAGCUCCGAUUAUGAGGGCGAACCGCGAAUGGCUCAUUAAAUCAGUCAUAAUCUACUUGAUUGUUUACAGUUUAUAUGGAUAACUGUGGUAAUUCUAGAGCUAAUACAUGCACAAAGAGGGCGACUCUUUCGCGAGAGAAGCUCUGCGUUUAUUAGACUAAGACCAAUGAUAGCUUGCUAUCUUGUUCAAGGUGACUCUGAGUAAAUAAUGGGUGAAAGCCCAUGGUGCUGACCUGAUAUAACAAAAAGCUCGCAAGGGCUUGUCAGGCAAAUCAAUCGUGUGUCUGCUCUAUCAACUGUGGAUGGUAGGAUAAUUGCCUACCAUGGUGAUGACGGGUAACGGGGAGUUAGGGCUCGACUCCGGAGAACAAGCCUGAGAAACGGCUAGUAGGACUAAGGUCUGCAGCAGGCGCGAAACUUACACAAUGCUAGAUUACAAUUAGCGAUGUAGUGAAGAAAAAUAACGAUGUAUUUCCAUUUAAACAUGGUAGUACAAUUGGAAUGAGACGACUUUAAAUCAGUUAGUCGAGUAACAAAUGGAGGGCAAGUCUGGUGCCAGCAGCCGCGGUAAUUCCAGCUCCAUUAGCAUACAUUAAAGUUGUUGCGGUUAAAAAGCUCGUAGUUGAAUUUUAGGCGGGCUCUAUUGGGGUGCAAUCGUUAAGGUCCUCUGGUCAUAGGUUCGCCCUAUCUAGUCGGACUGGUUGUCAUCUUCCUAUAGGAACUCGCUGUUUCGUCACUUAAUCGAGUGCGAAGCGGGCUGGAACGAGGGUACGACUUCGGUCUACCUUGUCUCAGCAUCUUUACCUUGAGAAAAUUAGAGUGCUCACAGCAGGCAGUUGGGGUGUAAAAGCUCCUUUAUGCUUGAAUAAUGUUGCAUGGAAUAAUAGAAUACGGCCUCGGUUCUAUUCUGUUGGUCUUAUAGAACAACAAACAAGUUGGUUAAAGCGAUCAAAAGUCUAUAUGUGAGUGUGGUCUAGUGGUAGCUUCUUAGUUGCUGGUUAACUUCCGGCUGUGUCUUGUUGCCUAGGGCCAAAAUCCUAGAGCCUUACGCUCCGGCUUGUUGCCUUCUUUACUAAUUAGCACGCCACUUUUCCAUCCAAAGCAUUCCUUAUACGACUAGCUUCUAAUCAACUGAGGCAAUGGUUAAAAGAAAUAGUCGCGGCGGCAUCAGUACUGCAUCGUGAGAGGUGAAAUUCUUAGACCGAUGCAAGACUAACUGAAGCGAAAGCGUUUGCCGAGGAUAUUUUCAUUAAUCAAGAACGAAAGUUAGAGGUUCGAAGGCGAUCAGAUACCGCCCUAGUUCUAACCAUAAACGUUGCCAACUAGCAAUUGGGUUGCGAUUCCUUUAAUCGAAGCUUAAAACACUUCGAUCAUUAUGAUCCACCCAGCGGCUCUCGUAGGGAAACCAAAGUGUUUGGGUUCCGGGGGAAGUAUGAUUGCAAAGUUGAAACUUAAAGGAAUUGACGGAAGGGCACCACCAGGAGUGGAGCCUGCGGCUUAAUUUGACUCAACACGGGGAAACUUACUAGAUUAGAACUCUGGAAUGAUUGACAGAUUGAUAGCUCUUUCUUGAUUCAGAGGAUGGUGGUGCAUGGCCGUUCUUGAUUCGUAUUCCGAAACGUCUGCUUAAUUGCGAUAACGAGUGAGACCUCAUCCAACUAACUAGUCGUUUGGUGCGCUGUGGAACGCAAAAGUCUUGGUAGGAUUGGUCCUAGUGGGUUGCUGGUUUCCAGUGGAUCUGCUAGCUGCCUAUUUUAGAUGUUCUCUGCUCGCCUGCGGACUUCUUAGAGGGAUAAACGGUGCUUUAGCCGUAAGAAACGAG